GGUCCCUAUGGGGCGCAGCAGUGGGGAAUAUUGCACAAUGGGGGAAACCCUGAUGCAGCGACGCCGCGUGAGUGAAGAAGUAUUUCGGUAUGUAAAGCUCUAUCAGCAGGGAAGAAGAAGGACGGUACCUGAGUAAGAAGCCCCGGCUAACUACGUGCCAGCAGCCGCGGUAAUACGGAGGAUGCGAGCGUUAUCCGGAUUUAUUGGGUUUAAAGGGUGCGCAGGCGGUCUGUUAAGUCAGCGGUCAAAGCCCGGGGCUCAACCCCGGCCCGCCGUUGAAACUGGCAGUCUCGAGUUGGAGAGAA
rnacentral:rRNA from 1 species